rnacentral:rRNA from 1 species
UAGGGAGGGUGCAAGCGUUAUUCGGAUUUAUUGGGCGUAAAGGGCGUGUAGGUGGUCUGAUAAGUCAGGUGUGAAAGCCCCUGGCUCAACCAGGGAAGUGCACUUGAAACUAUCAGACUUGAGUACGGGAGGGGGAAGUGGAAUUCCUGGUGUAGAGGUGAAAUUCGUAGAUAUCAGGAGGAAUACCGGUGGCGAAGGCGACUUCCUGGACCGAUACUGACACUGAGACGCGACAGCGUGGGGAGCAAACAGG